rnacentral:pre_miRNA from 1 species
CAUGUACUCCUUCCGUUUGGAAUUACUUGUCACAGAAAUUGAUAUAUCUAGAUGUAUUUUAAUUCUAGAUACAUUCAUUUUCGACACAAGUAAUUUCGAACGGAGGGAAUACUCC